UGGAGGAAACAACGAUGAUUAUGGUCAUU
rnacentral:piRNA from 1 species